rnacentral:rRNA from 1 species
AUUGGGUAGGGGAGCGUUCUGUAAGCGGUUGAAGGUGUGUGGUAACGCAUGCUGGACGUAUCAGAAGUGCGAAUGCUGACAUGAGUAACGAUAAAGGGGGUGAAAAACCUCCUCGCCGGAAGACCAAGGGUUCCUGUCCAACGUUAAUCGGGGCAGGGUAAGUCGACCCCUAAGGCGAGGCCGAAAGGCGUAGUCGAUGGGAAACGGGUUAAUAUUCCCGUACUUCUUACAAUUGCGAUGGGGGGACGGAGAAGGCUAGGUGGGCCUGGCGACGGUUGUCCAGGUUCAAGUGCGUAGGCUUAAGAGUUAGGUAAAUCCGGCUCUUUUUAAGGCUGAGACACGACGUCGAGCAUCUACGGAUGUGAAGUCAUUGAUGCCAUGCUUCCAGGAAAAGCCUCUAAGCUUCAGAUUGUAAGGAAUCGUACCCCAAACCGACACAGGUGGUCGGGUAGAGAAUACCAAGGCGCUUGAGAGAACUCGGGUGAAGGAACUAGGCAAAAUGGUACCGUAACUUCGGGAGAAGGUACGCUCUCGACGGUGAAGUCCCUCGCGGAUGGAGCUAUUGAGAGUCGCAGAUACCAGGUGGCUGCAACUGUUUAUUAAAAACACAGCACUGUGCAAAAUCGUAAGAUGACGUAUACGGUGUGACGCCUGCCCGGUGCCGGAAGGUUAAUUGAUGGGGUUAGACUUCGGUCGAAGCUCUUGAUCGAAGCCCCGGUAAACGGCGGCCGUAACUAUAACGGUCCUAAGGUAGCGAAAUUCCUUGUCGGGUAAGUUCCGACCUGCACGAAUGGCGUAAUGAUGGCCACGCUGUCUCCACCCGAGACUCAGUGAAAUUGAAAUCGCUGUGAAGAUGCAGUGUACCCGCGGCUAGACGGAAAGACCCCGUGAACCUUUACUACAGCUUGGCACUGAACAUUGACCCUACAUGUGUAGGAUAGGUGGGAGGCUUUGAAGCACGUACGCCAGUAUGUGUGGAGCCGUCCUUGAAAUACCACCCUUGUAGUGUUGAUGUUCUAACGUCGACCCCUAAUCGGGGUUGCGGACAGUGCCUGGUGGGUAGUUUGACUGGGGCGGUCUCCUCCCAAAGAGUAACGGAGGAGCACGAAGGUGGGCUAAUCACGGUUGGACAUCGUGAGGUUAGUGCAAUGGCAUAAGCCCGCUUGACUGCGAGAAUGACAAUUCGAGCAGGUGCGAAAGCAGGUCAUAGUGAUCCGGUGGUUCUGAAUGGAAGGGCCAUCGCUCAACGGAUAAAAGGUACUCCGGGGAUAACAGGCUGAUACCGCCCAAGAGUUCAUAUCGACGGCGGUGUUUGGCACCUCGAUGUCGGCUCAUCACAUCCUGGGGCUGAAGUCGGUCCCAAGGGUAUGGCUGUUCGCCAUUUAAAGUGGUACGCGAGCUGGGUUUAGAACGUCGUGAGACAGUUCGGUCCCUAUCUGCCGUGGGCGUUGGAAGAUUGAAGGGGGCUGCUCCUAGUACGAGAGGACCGGAGUGGACGAACCUCUGGUGUUCGGGUUGUGUCGCCAGACGCAUUGCCCGGUAGCUAAGUUCGGAAUCGAUAACCGCUGAAAGCAUCUAAGCGGGAAGCGAGCCCUGAGAUGAGUCUUCCCUGAUACUUUAAGUAUCCUAAAGGGUUGUCGGAGACUACGACGUUGAUAGGUCAGGUGUGUAAGUGCUGUGAGGCAUUGAGCUAACUGAUACUAAUUGCCCGUGAGGCUUAACCAU